CUGUUUUGUUCUUGCUGCUGGCGUCCUGAACGGCUUUAUUAUGCACGUGAGCCAUGAGGUUCACUCCCCACGAGCUACUUCACACCGUUGCUUUUAUUCGAACUGCACCUUACUCCUGUGAGGCCAGAAGCUGUUGCCUUAUUCCUCCCUCACAAUGCUCCAUGCUCCCACUCAACCCUUGAAACCUCCCGGAUUCAACAGGAUGCUUUGGAAGCAAGAGCUCUAAGGUGUCAGAGGAAUGGAUUAAUG
rnacentral:lncRNA from 1 species